GGUACACGCUGUGACUAGCAUAUCAAUAAGCGGAGGAAAAGAAACUAACAAGGAUUCCCCUAGUAACGGCGAGUGAAGCGGGAAGAGCUCAAAUUUGAAAUCUUAAAGGGUUUCCCUUUACGAAUUGUAGUUUAAAGAAGUGUUUUCUGUUGAGGUUUUGGUAAAAGUUCUUUGGAAUAGGACAUCAUAGAGGGUGAGAAUCCCGUAUUUGACCUUUACUUUCAACUUUGUGAUACACUUUCAAAGAGUCGGAUUGUUUGGGAAUGCAGUCCAAAAUGGGUGGUAAAUUUCAUCUAAAGCUAAAUAUUGGCGAGAGACCGAUAGCGAACAAGUACCGUGAGGGAAAGAUGAAAAGAACUUUGAAAAGAGAGUUAAACAGUACGUGAAAUUGUCAAAAAGGGAAGCGUUUGACACCAGUGUUGUUUUUCUGAAAAUCAAUUAAAGAACUGUUUAUGCUAAGCUGUUUAGACUUUAUCAGCUAACUGUUUAGUUUUGAGCUUUUCUUUAAUGCACUUUUCAGUUAACAAGUCAACAUCAAUUUCUUUUGCUGUAAAAAAGCUUGAGGAAGGUGGCUUGAGAUUCGUCUUAAGUGUUUAUAGCCUCUUGCCUAUGCAGUCGGAGAGAUUGAGGUCUGCAGCGUAGAUCCUUCGGGGCUAAAUGCAUUUGUGCUAAGUUAUAGCAUUUUAUAGACAACUUGUUGACUAUGAUUUGUCUUGUAGCUUACUCGCUUAUGUUAUUUUACCUACGCUUAGGAUGUUGAGUCGUAGAGCACGCAG
rnacentral:rRNA from 1 species